rnacentral:lncRNA from 1 species
GCGUACACAGAAGACAUGCUGAACUAAACAGCAAAGCACCUUGGGUGCUGUGGAGCUCAAUCGCUUCAUGUCAAAUGCCAGGGAUGCCAGGAAGCUACUUUUCCUCCAAUCCAGAGGGACUGUGGCAUUACCUGUCCCAUCCUUGGUGGGCAUGUUACUCAGACCAGCUCUUGGGGAUAUUUCUACUUAUCUGGCCUCAGUGGUUAAUACAGGGAAGAACAGAGGUUCCGAGUUGGCCCACUCAGAGCCAUCACUGCCUUUCUGUUGGAAAAAUCAAGAAAGAGGUGGGAUUACUAUUUGCAGAGCAAACCUACAGCUUCUUGAAAAUCAGCCUGCAAAUGAGGCCAGCAUAGAGAAAAGCAGAAAAGAGGACUGAAGAAUCACAGUGGGGUAGAGAGAGACAGAGUCAUCACUGAAUGUCUGGAUCCAGCCAUUCCUGAUUCCCAUUCCUAAGUAGCCAGUUGCAGAUCCAGUUGCAAUCAAAAGUGUCCUAACCCCACAAUCCCACUCUUGGGCAUCUACCCGGACAAAACUCUACUUAAAAGAGACACGUGCACCCGCAUGUUCAUUGUAGCACUAUUCACAAUAGCCAGGACAUGGAAACAACCCAAAUGUCCAUCAACAGAUGAUUGGAUUCGGAAAAUGUGAUAUAUAUACACAAUGGAAUACUACUCAGCCAUAAAAAGAAUGACAUAAUGCCAUUUGCAGCAACAUGGAUGGAACUAGAGAAUCUCAUCCUGAGUGAAAUGAGCCAGAAAGACAAAGACAGAUACCAUAUGAUAUCACUUAUAACUGGAAUCUAAUAUCCAGCACAAAUGAACAUCACAGAAAAGAAAAUCAUGGACUUGGAGAAGAGACUUGCAGCUGCCUGAUGGGAGGGGGAGGGAGUGGGAGGGAUCGGGAGCUUGGGCUUAUCAGACACAACUUAGAAUAGAUUUACAAGGAGAUCCUGCUGAAUAGCAUUGAGAACUUUGUCUAGAUACUCAUGUUGCAACAGAAGAAAGGGUGGGGGGAAAAAUGUAAUUGUAAUGUAUACAUGUAAGGAUGACCUGACCCCCUUGCUGUACAGUGGGAAAAUAAAAAAAUUAUUUAAAAAAAAGUGUCCUAAGUA